rnacentral:rRNA from 1 species
GACGAACCGUGCGAACGUUGUUCGGAAUCACUGGGCUUAAAGGGCGCGUAGGCGGCUUGUCAAGUCAGGGGUGAAAUCCUGCAGCUCAACUGUAGAAGUGCCUUUGAUACUGACGAGCUCGAGGGAGGUAGGGGUCGCUGGAACUUCUGGUGGAGCGGUGAAAUGCGUUGAUAUCAGAAGGAACGCCGGUGGCGAAAGCGAGCGACUGGAUCUCUACUGACGCUGAGGCGCGAAAGCUAGGGGAGCAAACGGG